UACGAAGGGGGCUAGCGUUGCUCGGAAUCACUGGGCGUAAAGGGUGCGUAGGCGGGUCUUUAAGUCAGGGGUGAAAUCCUGGAGCUCAACUCCAGAACUGCCUUUGAUACUGAGGAUCUUGAGUACGGGAGAGGUGAGUGGAACUGCGAGUGUAGAGGUGAAAUUCGUAGAUAUUCGCAAGAACACCAGUGGCGAAGGCGACACACUGGCCCGUUACUGACGCUGAGGCGCGAAAGCGUGGGGAGCAAACAGG
rnacentral:rRNA from 1 species